UUUAAAAAGUUGAACAUGCAAUCAACUCAAUUUUUUUAAGUCGCUUUACUAUGUUUAUUUCCCUAGAACUUCGUUAAAGCUUUAAAGUGCAUCUGAAACUGAGUAGAACUUCAUAACUAUAUUGAGUUUCUAGAAAUCCAUUUAAACGUAAUCAGUUUAUGAUUGGAGGUAGACCCUAUCACUUGCUGAAAUCAAAAGAAACCACAUGGAGCCGGUUUUAAAGUUCGCUAUAAUUUUUCUCGCUGCCUUUAUCAAUGUGACAUAUGCCAUGCAAAAUCCAAUAAUGCGUGAUAAUUGUAAUUUGGGAGAGCAUCUAACUUGUAAGUUUAGGUUCAUUCACUGUUGGCUGUACGGGUGCGUUUGUCUUCCGAAUCACUCUUACUUGGGACUCGGAUAUGGAUGUCUUCACAUCAGAUACGCUUAAAUAUAAGUUAUGAAAUCUAUAAGCGUUCUUUCAUUCAUAUAUAAUCGUGUGGAUAUGCUUCUCCUAUUUUAUUGCCACAACACAUAUGCAUAAACAUCCUCAACUGUUAAUAAACAUUAAAAAGUGUCCUGUUUUUUGAAGUAACAACUCCUUGGGAGCAGGACAUAAUUCUCAAAAAUGUAAUUUCAACUCGUAAUAAAACGCAUAAGACUUUCAGCUUACAUGCUAA
rnacentral:sRNA from 1 species